AAGGAAUAUUGGUCAAUGGAGGAAACUCUGAACCAGCCAUGCCGCGUGGAGGAUGAAGGUCCUCUGGAUUGUAAACUUCUUUUAUAUGGGACGAAAAAAGGGUUUUCUAACUCGUCUGACGGUACCAUAUGAAUAAGCACCGGCUAACUCCGUGCCAGCAGCCGCGGUAAUACGGAGGGUGCAAGCGUUAUCCGGAUUCACUGGGUUUAAAGGGAGCGUAGGUGGGCUGGUAAGUCAGAGGUGAAAUCUCCGAGCUUAACUCGGAAACUGCCUUUGAUACUAUUAGUCUUGAAUAUUGUGGAGGCUAGCGGAAUAUGUCAUGUAGCGGUGAAAUGCUUAGAUAUGACAUAGAACACCAAUUGCGAAGGCAGCUGGCUACACAUAUAGUGACACUGAGGCUCGAAAGCGUGGGGAUCAAAC
rnacentral:rRNA from 1 species